rnacentral:rRNA from 1 species
GUUAGGAAUAUUGGACAAUGGGCGAAAGCCUGAUCCAGCCAUGCCGCGUGAACGAUGAAGGCCUUCGGGUUGUAAAGUUCUUUAGCCGAUGAUUAUAAUGACUGUAGUCGGAAAAUAAGCCCCGGCUAACUUCGUGCCAGCAGCCGCGGUAAUACGAAGGUGGCGAGCGUUAUUCGGAAUCACUGGGCGUAAAGCGUGCGUAGGCGGUUUUGUAAGUUAGGAGUGAAAGCCCAGGGCUCAACCUUGGAAUUGCUCUUAAAACUGCAAGGCUCGAAUCUCGGAGAGGAUAGCGGAAUUUCCAGUGUAGCAGUGAAAUGCGUAGAUAUUGGAAGGAACACCAGUGGCGUAAGCGGCUAUCUGGACGAGUAUUGACGCUGAGGCACGAAAGCGUGGGGAUCAAACAGGAUUAGAUACCCUAGUAGUCC